rnacentral:rRNA from 1 species
AUUGAACGCUGGCGGCAUGCUUUUCACAUGCAAGUCGAACGGCAGCGAGAGAGAAGCUUGCUUCUCUUGUCGGCGAGUGGCGAACGGGUGAGUAAUACAUCGGAACGUACCCUGUAGUGGGGGAUAACUACUCGAAAGAGUGGCUAAUACCGCAUACAACCUGAGGGUAAAAGUGGGGGACCGCAAGGCCUCACGCUAUAGGAGCGGCCGAUGGAAGAUUAGCUAGUUGGUAGGGUAAAGGCCUACCAAGGCGACGAUCUUUAGCGGGUCUGAGAGGACGAUCCGCCACACUGGGACUGAGACACGGCCCAGACUCCUACGGGAGGCAGCAGUGGGGAAUUUUGGACAAUGGGCGAAAGCCUGAUCCAGCAAUGCCGCGUGAGUGAAGAAGGCCUUCGGGUUGUAAAGCUCUUUUGUUUGGGAAGAAAUCCUAACGGAUAAUACCUGUUGGGGAUGACGGUACCAAAAGAAUAAGCACCGGCUAACUACGUGCCAGCCGCCGCCGUAAUAC